rnacentral:rRNA from 1 species
GACGAACGCUGGCGGCGUGCUUAACACAUGCAAGUCGAACGAAGUGGCGAACGGGUGAGUAAUACGUGGGUAACCUGCCCUCCUUUUUGGGAUAAGCCUUGGAAACGGGGUCUAAUACCGAAUAAAGGGGGAUGGGCUCGCGGCCUAUCAGCUUGUUGGUGGGGUGAUUGCCUACCAAGGCGGUGACGGGUAGCCGGCGUGAGAGGGGGACCGGGCACAUUGAGACUGAGAAACGGCCCAGACGACUACGGGAGGGAGAAGUGGGGGAUAUUGCCGAAAGGGCGAAAGACUGAUGCAGCGACGCCGCGUGGGGGAUGAAGGCUUUCGGAUUGUAAACCUAUUUCGCUAUAGAACGGGUAGGUGGAGAAGAAGCGCCGGCUAACUACGUGCCAGCAGCCGCGGUAAUUC